ACAUACUUCCUUGCUAUCCCAUAUUUAUGGCAACCUAUGGAAUGUAAAGAAGUAUGUAU
rnacentral:pre_miRNA from 1 species